GGGGGGGGGCAAGCGUUGUUCGGAAUUACUGGGCGUAAAGGGUUCGUAGGUGGCCCGCUAAGUCAGACGUGAAAUCCCUCAGCUCAACUGAGGAACUGCGUCUGAGACUGGUGAGCUUGAGUGCAGGAGAGGAACGCGGAAUUCCAGGUGUAGCGGUGAAAUGCGUAGAUAUCUGGAGGAACACCGGUGGCGAAGGCGGCGUUCUGGACUGCUACUGACACUGAGGAACGAAAGCCAGGGGAGCAAACGGGAUUAGAUACCCCGGUAGUCCUGGCCCUAAACGAUGAAUGCUUGGUGUGGCGGGUAUCGAUCCCUGCCGUGCCGUAGUUAACGCGUUAAGCAUUCCGCCUGGGGAGUACGGUCGCAAAGGCUG
rnacentral:rRNA from 1 species